UCAGAUCUGUCGAGCUGUGAAACAGGGGAUACUUUAAUGAAUAAACUGUACUAAUUGGCCAAGUCAAAAAUUCUGAAAAUUUUAUGGUAAGUAGUAAUAUGAGUCUAGUUUCAGGGAAAAUUUACGGAUUUAAAUUUUGAGUUCUGUAACUCGAGUUAUAAUUAAAUUAGUGAAAGUCACGCAGGUAGACAGUUUUGUUGUGAACAGUGAAUUUAAUUUUAAAAGCAAUUUUUUUUUAUGCUCCGAAUUGGUAAGUUAAAUUGGAUAACAUCUCGUACUCGAUUCCGGCGACGGUCUCGGGUAAGGGGUGUUACAUUUAGUGGUAUCAGAGCUACGGUUUAGUCGAUUCUCGGACUAACGUAGCGAGUGUAAUAGACUAUCUAUACAUGCCAUAAUUGAAUAAUGAUAGUGUGACGACUCCUGACAUCUUAAAAUGUUUUUUUUAUAGUAAUGGAUUCUAACCGAGAUACAGCUGAUGAUGCUCAAAGUAAUGUGCCUGUUGAAAGUCGAUUUGAGACUCAGGGUCAAGGAGAUGAGGCUCGAGAAGCUUUUCUCCAAAUGAUGAACAAUUGGUACACUGAGUUUGUUAGAACUAAUCCUAAUGCUCAACCUCCUCCGCCCCUUCCUAUUCCUCAAGCUGUUCCCAUAGCUCCUCAACAAACUGAAGUGUUAAGAUUGUCAAAGCCUCCAGUGGACAAAAUUCGAAAGUAUGGAGCCGAAGAGUUCCGAGCUAAUGUAAAUGAUGAUCCUGAAAGAGCAGAGUUCUGGCUUGAUAAUACCAUCAGAGUGUUGGAUGAAUUAUCUUGUACUCCAGAAGAGAGUCUCAAAUGUGCUAUCUCAUUGUUGAGGGAUUCAGCUUAUAAUUGGUGGAAAACUUUAGUGUCAGUGGUGCCUAAAGAGAAAGUUACAUGGGAUUUCUUUCAAGAAGAAUUCCGAAAGAAGUAUGUGAGUCAGCGUUUCAUUGAUCAAAAGAGAAAAGAGUUUCUUGAAUUGAAACAAGGGCGCAUGACGGUAGCCGAAUAUGAACGAGAAUUUGUCAAAUUAAGCAAGUAUGCCCAAGAGUGUGUAUCUAAUGAAGCUACAUUGUGCAAAAGGUUUGAAGAUGGAUUAAACGAGGAUAUCCGAUUGCUAGUGGGAAUUCUUGAAAUUAAAGAGCUAGUGGUACUAGUUGAAAGAGCUAUCAAGGCUGAAGAAUUGAGCAAAGAGAAAAGAAAGGUGGAAAGUGAAGUUAGAGAUGCAAGAAAAAGAUCAAUGGGCAAGCCAUUUCAGUCUCAAGCGAAGAAGUUUAAAGAAAUGAAUAGUCGAUCGAAUGUUUCUAGUGUAAAUUUUCAAAGAGAUCGAGGAAGACAAUAUUCAAGUUCUAAAGCUCAGGCGACUUCUAUGGCAAGUGUAGGUAGUGUUAAACCUACUAGACCGGAAUGUCAACAUUGUGGAAAACGACAUUUCGGGGAAUGUUAUCUAAUCAGUCGAGCAUGUUUUAAAUGUGGAUCUCAAGAUCAUUUUGUGAAAGAUUGUCCAGAAAGAGAAGAGAUAGAAAAAUUUCAGAAUGUGAGAUCGAGCAGUGUGACUACUAGAGGAAGACCAUCGAGAAAUGUGGGGACUGGAACUAGUGGUAAAGGAGUAACAAAAGACACGACUGUAAGAUCUGAAGUGGGAGCUCCAGCAAGAGCUUAUGCCAUCCGAGCUAGAGAGGAAGCGUCUUCCCCCGAUGUGAUCACUGGUAUAUUUUCUCUUUACGACACUAAUGUUCUUGCAUUGAUUGAUCCUGGUUCUACUCACUCGUAUGUAUGUAUGAAUUUAGUGUCUGAUAAGAAUUUGUGUGUUGAAUUGACUGAGUAUGUGAUUAAAGUGUCGAAUCCUUUAGGCAAGCAUGUGAUAGUUGAUAAAAUAUGCAAAAAUUGUCCUUUGAUGAUACAAGGUCAGUGUUUCCCUGCCAACUUGAUGUUGUUGCCAUUUGAUGAAUUUGAUGUUAUUUUGGGAAUGGAUUGGUUGACAUUACAUAAGGCCAAGAUAGAUUGCAGUCAGAAAAUUCUUGAGUUGAAGUGUAGUAGUGGUACAGUUCUUCGGGUUGAAACAGAUAAGUCAAAUGUGAUGCCAAUUGUGAUUUCUGCCAUGUCUGCUCAGAAAUGUUUGAAAAAUGGUUGUGAAGCAUAUCUUGCUUAUGUGUUGAAUACAAAAGUGUCUGAAACAAAGAUCGAAUCAGUGCCAGUGGUAUGUGAAUAUUUAGAUGUGUUCCCAGAAGAGUUGCCAGGUUUGCCUCCGAUUAGAGAAGUAGAGUUUGGUAUUGAAGUAAUGCCAGGUACUGCUCCAAUAUCGAUUGCUCCUUACAGAAUGGCACCAACUGAAUUAAAAGAAUUAAAAGUGCAAUUGCAAGAGUUGACGGAUAAAGGAUUCGUCAGACCAAGUUAUUCUCCGUGGGGUGCUCCCGUGCUAUUUGUGAAGAAAAAGGAUGGGACAUUGAGAUUGUGUAUUGAUUAUCGUCAACUUAAUAAAGUGACAGUAAAGAAUAAAUAUCCAUUGCCCCGAAUAGAUGACUUGUUUGAUCAGUUAAAGGAUGCCACAGUGUUUUCCAAAAUUGAUUUGAGAUCCGGAUAUUACCAAUUGAGGGUUAAAGAGUCAGAUGUGCCAAAGACUGCUUUCAGAACCCGGUAUGGUCACUAUGAGUUUCUUGUAAUGCCUUUUGGUCUGACUAAUGCUCCAGCUAUUUUUAUGGAUUUGAUGAAUCGAAUUUUCCGGCCCUAUUUGGAUAAAUUUGUUGUGGUGUUUAUAGAUGAUAUUCUUAUUUAUUCCCGAAGUGAAGUCGAGCAUGCUGAACAUUUAAGAAUUGUGCUACAAACGCUGCGAGAAAAGAAAUUGUUUGCUAAAUUUAGCAAAAGUGAAUUUUGGCUUAGUGAAGUUGGAUUUUUGGGACAUGUUGUCUCGGGAGAUGGCAUUCGAGUGGAUCCGAAUAAGAUAUCGGCAAUAGUUGAAUGGAAGCCUCCAAGAAAUGUAUCUGAAGUUAGGAGUUUUCUGGGCUUAGCCGGAUAUUAUCGUCGAUUUGUAGAAGGUUUUUCGAUGAUAGCUUCACCGAUGACAAAAUUGUUGCAAAAAGAUGUUAAGUUCGAAUGGACCGAGGAGUGUCAACAAAGUUUUGAGAAAUUAAAGAAGUGUUUAACUGAGGCACCAGUGUUAGUGCAACCUGAGUCAGGAAAGGAAUUUGUUGUUUAUAGUGACGCGUCAUUAAAUGGGCUUGGAUGUGUAUUGAUGCAAGAAGGAAAAGUGAUAACGUAUGCUUCUCGACAAUUGAAACCGCAUGAACGGAAUUAUCCUACCCAUGAUUUAGAGUUGGCUGCUAUUGUCUUUGCUUUGAAGAUUUGGCGUCAUUAUUUAUAUGGUGAGAAAUGUCAUGUUUUUACAGAUCAUAAAAGUUUGAAAUAUGUUAUGACACAAAAAGAUCUGAAUUUGCGGCAGCGAAGAUGGUUGGAAUUGAUGAAAGAUUAUGAACUUGUAAUAGAUUAUCAUCCGGGAAAAGCCAAUAUAGUUGCUGAUGCUUUGAGCAGAAAGUCUCUCUUUGCUUUGAGAGCUUUGAAUACAAGAUUAACAUUGACUGAAGAUGGAUCAUUGCUUGCAGAGUUAAAAGCUAGUCCAUUGUUUCUUCAAGAAAUUUAUGAGGCUCAGAAAGUGGAUAAUGAAUUACAAAGAAAAAAGACUCAGUGUGCAGUGGGCGAUAAUUCUGAUUUUCGGAUUGAUUCAGAUGGAUGUUUAAUGUUUCAUGACAGAAUAUGUGUUCCGAAAAAUGUUGAUUUAAUUCAGAAAAUUUUGCAGGAAGCACAUGAUAGUCGGUUGGCAGUUCACCCCGGUAGUGUAAAAAUGUACAAUGAUUUAAAGAAAUUAUAUUGGUGGCCGGGUAUGAAACGGGAUAUCUCUGAGUAUGUGACAAAGUGUUUUGUGUGCCAACAAGUAAAAGCUGAACACCAAGUACCUUCAGGGUUACUUCAACCCAUUAUGGUGCCCGAGUGGAAGUGGGAUAGAAUUACUAUGGAUUUUGUUUCCGGAUUGCCAUUGUCACCGAAAAAGAAAGACUCAAUUUGGGUAAUAGUUGAUCGAUUGACUAAGUCAGCUCAUUUCAUUCCUGUGCGAAUGAGUUUUUCACUUGACAAGUUAGCUGAAUUGUAUAUUGCUGAGAUAGUUCGAUUACAUGGUGUGCCUGCGUCUAUUAUAUCUGAUAGAGAUCCACGGUUUACUUCAAGGUUGUGGAAGAAAUUACAAGAGGCAUUGGGUACUAAAUUGAAUUUUAGUACAGCAUUUCACCCCCAAACCGAUGGACAGUCUGAAAGAGUAAUUCAAGUGCUCGAAGAUAUGUUGAGAUGUUGUGUAUUGGAAUUUGAAGGUAAUUGGGAAAGAUAUCUACCUUUGGUGGAGUUUGCAUAUAAUAAUAGUUAUCAAUCCAGCAUAAAAAUGGCACCUUAUGAAGCGUUGUAUGGACGAAAGUGUCGGACUCCAUUAUAUUGGACUGAACUUAAUGAAAAUCAGUUACAUGGAGUCGAUUUGGUAAAAGAAACUGAAGAAAAAGUGAAGAUAAUCCGUGAUUGUUUGAAAGCUGCAUCGGAUCGACAGAAGUCGUAUGCGGAUUUGAAAAGAAAAGAGAUUGAGUUUCAAGUGGGUGAUAAAGUAUUUCUGAAAGUGUCUCCAUGGAAGAAAAUUCUGAGAUUUGGCCGUAAAGGUAAAUUAAGUCCAAGAUUUAUUGGUCCGUAUGAAGUGAUAGAAAGAAUUGGUCCAGUGGCUUAUCGAUUGUCUUUACCCCCGGAAUUGGAAAGAAUUCAUAAUGUGUUUCAUGUUUCUAUGUUGAGGCGAUAUCGAUCGGACCCAUCACAUGUGAUUUCACCGACUGAAGUGGAAAUUCGAUCGGAUAUGACAUACGAAGAAGAACCGAUUCGAAUCUUGGCACGAGAAGUGAAACAGUUGAGAAACAAAGAAAUUGCUUUAGUGAAAGUGUUAUGGCAACGACAAGGGAUGGAAGAGGCAACAUGGGAAACCGAGGAGGCUAUGAGGAAACAGUAUCCCAACUUAUUCACUGGUAAGAUUUUCGGGGACGAAAAUCCCUAAGGGGGGAGAAUUGUGAUAGCCCGAAAUAGGGCCUAAUUGGAAUAGUGGUUUCGUAACCACAAAUCCGAAGUGAAAUAGUUUAAUUUUAUAAAUUUUUAUUAGUUACUGAUUGAUUGAAAUAUUGUGUGAAAAUAUGGAUAGGAAAUUUUAAUGCUUUAGUGCUUAAUUGAAUUUUUAGGACUAAAUUGAAAAAAAUGCAAAGUGUGUCUAAUUAGUGAUUAAAUGACUUAAUUGAAUUAUUGCAUGAAAUUGGAAGUGUUUAUGUGGCAAUUAGACCAUAAAUUAGUGUUAUGGACACAAAAGGGUAUUUCUAGAAAAAUAUCUAAGUAAUGGGUCAAGGGCAUUUUUGUCCAAAUUGAAUAAAAGACAAAAUAAAGAUGAAAACAAGUGUUCAUCUUCUUAAAAUCAGACGUUUGCUGCAAAAAAAAUUCAUGUCACCAUAGCUAGGGUUCUUGAACUUCCUAAGCUCAAUUGUAAGUGAUUUCUUGCCCCGUUUUUAAUUAUUUUCGUAUUUUUAUGCUUAUUGAAGCUUGAAUUUCAUGUUUCUACUAUUUAAUUUAAAUGAAAUUAAAGUUUGAAAAUUUACCCAUUCAUGAUAUAAUUGUAAAUUGAUUAGUGAUGUUAGAUAAUGAAUGUUUGAAGUGUUAAUUACAAGUUUUACUAGAUGAAUUUUGAUGAAAAUGUUGAAAAAGGGCUAAAUUGUGAAAGAUGGUAAAGUGUGCAUAAAGUUGUGAUUUUGUGAAAUUGAGGGCUGUUAUGAGCAUGAAAUAUGAUUUAGUGAAGUUUGAAAUUUAAAAAUUUAGUGAAUUUUAUUUUUACGAGCUUAGGGACAAAAGUGGAAUUUUUGAAAAGUUUCGGGGAAAAAUGUAAAUUUGCCAAAAUGUUGUGUAUGAAUUGUAUUUGAAUGAAAUGUUGAUAAAAAUGUAUUAAAUUGUGUUAAUAUAGAUCAAGAAAGAAGAAAUAGUGCAAGUGAUCGGGGAAAAGAGAAAGUUAUCGACUAAAUUACAAAAAAAUAGUCGUUUUGCAUCCGAGGUAAGUUAUAUGUAAAUAAUAGUUAUAUUUGUAUAAAUUGUGAAUUAUAUUUGAUAUGUGAAUUAAUAUUGAAUGUGGAAGGAAAAUUGUUCAUGAAUUAUUCAAGUAAUAAAGUGUUAAGUGUAAAUUCCCGGUUGAACUUAGGAAUAGAAUUGGAUACAAGUGACAUGUCACUAGAGACCAGUGUUACAGUGUUACAGUGUUACAGUGAGUCCCGGGUGCUGGGUGAUCUAGCAUGUGUUGCAGACACCUGACAGCUUGUGUGAGCAGGCCCGUGGACAUUUCCAGUGUUAUUGAUCAGUGGUAGCUUCGGCUACAUUUCAGUGGUAGCUUCGGCUACAUAUCAGUGGUAGCUUCGGCUACAUAUCAGUGUGGCACUUAUGUGCUAAAUCUCUACGUAUCCGUGUAUAUUCCAACUGUUCAACGGGAUUAAUAAUGAAUUAAAGUGAAUAUGAAAUGUUAAGUGUGAAAAUGUAUAUGCAAGUGAAUUGGUAAGAUUGUGCAUGUGUAAGUGAUUGAAAUUGCUAAGAAAUGUUUUGAUUAGUUAUAUGUUAAAAGUGUUAAUUACUAAAUGAGUAAUUAUUGUUUACAUGUAACUUACUAAGCUAUUUAUAGCUUACACAUCUCUUUCUUUCCUUUGUUUUAUAGUGAUUUGAACUUGAUCGAAUAGUGGACCGUCGGAGCUCGUAUCACACUAUCAUAGCCAUCUCGGUAUUAUGUGCUUUUCAAAAUGUUUGAACUAUGGCAUGUAUAGAGUCUUAAUCAUCUUGAGCAUGUUCAAAUGAUAUGGCUAAGAUUAGCUAUUGAAAUGGUUAGUAAAGAUUAUGUUUUGGUAUUAUGUAUGUGUAAAUGGUAACUAAUUCAAAGAAGCAGUUUCUUUGACAGCAGCAGUGACGUGAAUGUAAAAAUUCACCAUAAAUAGUAGAAAUGGAAUUAGAGAGUGAAUUAUAUAUGGAAUUAAAUCUUAUCAAGUCUAUUUUUAUAUGAAAGAAACGAUGUAGGAAAAGGAAUUCUGUAUUUUGAGAUAUUUGAAUUUUAGUGAGAUAGGGUCAGAAUGGUUUUUGAAGUCCCCUGUUCUGACUUUGAAAAAUCAUUAUAAAUUGUACAGAAAGAAUUAUGGGUCAUAAUUUAUAUGUGUAGAUUUCUUAGUGAGUCUAUUUUCAAAAGAAAAAAACGAUAACCUUAUAUGUAUUCUGUACAAAGAGAUAAUUGAUUUUUAGUGCCGAGAGGUCAGAUCUGUCGAGCUGUGAAACAGGGGAUACUUUAAUGAAUAAACUGUACUAAUUGGCCAAGUCAAAAAUUCUGAAAAUUUUAUGGUAAGUAGUAAUAUGAGUCUAGUUUCAGGGAAAAUUUACGGAUUUAAAUUUUGAGUUCUGUAACUCGAGUUAUAAUUAAAUUAGUGAAAGUCACGCAGGUAGACAGUUUUGUUGUGAACAGUGAAUUUAAUUUUAAAAGCAAUUUUUUUUUUAUGCUCCGAAUUGGUAAGUUAAAUUGGAUAACAUCUCGUACUCGAUUCCGGCGACGGUCUCGGGUAAGGGGUGUUACA
rnacentral:lncRNA from 1 species